AGCUGCAGCCGUCACCUAGCGCGGCCGGCCGGGCAACGUCCCCGGAGCGUGAUCCGCUGGGGCUCGGGUCGGCCACUGGCUUCCCAGUCCUCUUCCUCUAAGCCGGACGCCCCUCGGCGCGGCUUCCCCGGCUCGGAAUCCAGCCCCUGGAGAGAGAAAAAGGGAAGAUCGGAGAGGCCUGCCGUGGACCCGCCCCGCCAAUCAGGACGCGCGCGGGCGUUUUGAACGCGAGCGCUACGCAGCUGCGCUCCUCCGGUGGGAACCGGGCGGCCGGAGGGCCCGAGCGAGCCCCGGGAACCGGGGCCUGCGAGCCGCUGAGACCGGUGACGAGACUGGGUCUGAGUGGCUCAAGCCUUGAACCCUAUAUGGCUUCACAAUAGCAGGACCAUCGUUGGACUACCUACCGAGAGGGAGACCAGCUCUAAAGAGGAGAUGCUCUUCAUCGUUACUUCAUCAUCUACAUCCAAGAAAGUCAAGACAAUCACUGUUUUUAAAAUUCAUUUGUAAUUUUUCAAGAUAGUGAGCUAUCUCUAGCAUGUUCUAAAAAUGAUUAAUGAUUUGAAGAUUAUUGCUAUAGAUUCAAAUAGUGUGCUUCAGUCCUGUAGAAUGCUUCAAUCCUGUAGAGUUCUUGCUGGUCUGUAAGCCCUAUCUUUUGUCAGUGGUCCCUGUAAGUUGGUUCCUAAAUUCUUUUGGCAUGAUCCAAGUGGUCUUGCUUAAAAUCUUUGAUUUCUGGUAUUACAAUAUGUUCUAGUGUUAUCUUGCAUGUUUCAUGCUGUAUACAUAUUAUGAGCAACUUCUUUGAGGGGUGCUGGGUCUUUUUAGUAGGAAAUAGUACUUAAACUGAAAUCUGGGUAUUACUAGAACAUUUUUGCUUUGAGGUCGAUCACUAUAUGUCUUUGUUCUUGUCUUUAUAUGCACAACUUAAUUGGUUCUUAACUCAAUUAUGUAUGUUUAUUAUGUAUAUUUUCAACUACAUGAAUAGCAGGGGGAUGUUAGGUUAGCAAUUCAGUAGCAUAGGCCUUUGGCCAGGUAUGGCCUCAAAGUGGUUGCCAAAACCAAAAAAGACAUGCAUUGGAUAAAUAUCCAAAUUCUCCCAUAACAUGCCUGUCUUUGAAAGACAUAUUUAAAUAAUAUAUUGGUAGUGAGAGAUGUAAUCAAAAGAUUAUUUAAUAAAAUCAAGAAUUCUCUACCUCUAUGGGAUUUUUCCCUCUUAGCACAUCGGUCAUUCAUUUUACACGGCUCAGCUCCACUCAGAGUUGGUGUUAGGCAUGGUACAUGGGUCUGUGUUGGCUUAUUCACUUCACCAAAUCGUCAUCAACAAGUGUGAAUAAAGUGCCCAUUAUAUUCCAGACUCUCUUCUAAGUCUUUAAAGCACUCCUGUGACAAAAGAGGACAAGACCCCAAACAAGCCAAACCAUAGCACCAUUCCUUGGCUUUUACACUCUAGCUUGUACAGUAGUUUCUGUCAUAAAAGAAAUCACAACACAGGUCUGUAAAGUCACACUUGAAGAUUAUUGGGCCUGUGAGAUUGCUCAGGAGGUAAGGGUGUGCCCAACCUCACAACCUAAAUUCAGUUUCUGCAUCCACAUCAAGGAAGGAGAGAACUGAUUCUUACAAAUUGUCCGUUAAUUUCUACAGGUGUGCCACAGCCCACUCCUCCCUAUUCCCCCAAAUUAAUAAAUGUAAACAAAAUUGAAUGGGUUUAUAUACUAUUUAACACCCUGUGUGUGUUACACUUAUAACAGAACAGGUUAUGACUGGCUUGUGAGAAAUGCAUAUCCAAAUCAUAUAAAGUCAUUAAGAUAUUUGUAUGUAUAAAAACAAAACUGUUAUCUCACUACCUUAUAAGCUGAUUACUAAAUCAGCACAUCCGAGAAAACUUUGGCAGGAUUAAAGCUUUCAACAAACAGAACUAGGUACCAAAAUGAAGACAGAAUUAGUUUUUUGAUUUUUGUCAUUUGUAGAUUAGAUGAAUACUCAAGCAUUUAGUAGUGAGAAAUCUAGAUAUCACUACAAACCAAGAUGUAGUUGAAGUGAAAGCCUUGAACAGAGGAUGCUAAGCCAGAAUUCAGUAUCAUUAUGAUGACGGCAGUUUUAGGAUUUUUAACUCUGACACCCUCUCCUCUCAGAACCUUUGAUGUGGUCCUCAAUCUAGACAGUGAAAGUAUCAAACUAAUUAAAAUCAAGAGUAAACAAAAGCACGUGAAACAAAUUUAGGAUUUUUGCUUUUACAUACUGCCUUUAAAUUAAUACUUGAAAAUUAAAAGUCAAAGAAGUAUUAGUCAACCAUAGUAGUUCACAUUUGAAAUCCCAGAACUCAGGAGUCUGAGGCAGGAGGAUUGCUUUGAUUGAAGGCCUGCCUUAGGUUAUACAGGUGAAUUCUAGGUCUUUCUGGCCUACAGAGUGAGACCUCAUCUCAAAAUGUGUCUUGUUGAUUGUAAUGAACUUUUCAACUGGCUUAAUUUGACAUAAAGAUGAUGACGCAAUUUAAAUUAUGAUGAAUUUGAAAACUAAUCUGUGGUUGGGAAUCUGUCUUGAAGUGUGGGACCUAUCGUAGAGUGAAUCCUAGAUUUAUAAAAUCACCAUAUUAUGUUCUUUCUAUAAAAUUCUAUCUCAUCACAGCCAGAAUGGUUCUCAUCAAGAAUACAAACAGCAAAUGAUGAGGAUGUAGAGUAACUGAAACUCUUACUGUAUUCUGGUAGGAGUAUAAGCUGGUGCAGACACUAUGGAAUGAUGCAUCCAAGUUCCUUGAAACACUAACAUUAAGACUGCCAUAUGAUCUAGUUACAUCACUCCUGUGCGUAUUUCUGAAGGCUUCUAUGUCAGCACCACAGGGAUGCUUGGACUUUGUGUGCUCUGAUGGAGUAUUUACAACAGCUAAGAUGCACAUCAGCAGACAAGUAAGUGAGGACAGUGUGGUACUUACAUAUGAUGGAAUUUAAGAAGAAUGAAGUUAUGACAUUUGCAGUUAAUUGGAUGCAACUGAAGAUCAAUAUGUUAUGAAAAAUAAGUCAAAGUCAUAUGGAAUCUAGAUUUAAACAUAUAUAUACACAUAUGUGUAUAGAUGUAUGUGUGUAUAGAAUAUGAGACAGAAAGAGCACUGUGAGGGAGGGUAAGAGGCCUGAAGAAGUUUUGGUAAUGAGGAAGAGAAAAUGGUAAUGGACGAUAUGCAACACAAAAGCAUAAGAAUGGGGAACUAGUAAAGAGGUAAAUGAA